rnacentral:rRNA from 1 species
AAUAUUGGACAAUGGGGGCAACCCUGAUCCAGCCAUGCCGCGUGUGUGAGGAAGGUUUUCGGAUUGUAAACCACUUUAAGUUGGGAGGAAGGGCUUUUGGUUAAUACCCUGAAGUUUUGACGUUACCAACAGAAUAAGCACCCGCACACUCUGUGCCAGCAGCCGCGGUAAUACAGAGGGUGCAAGCGUUAAUCGGAAUUACGGGGCGUAAAGCGCGCGUAGGUGGUUCAGUAAGAUGGGUGUGAAAUCCCCGGGCUUAACCUGGGAACUGCUUUCAUAACUGCUGAGCUAGAGUACGGUAGAGGGUAGUGGAAUUUCCUGUGUAGCGGUGAAAUGCGUAGAUAUAGGGAGGAACACCAGUGGCGAAGGCGACUACCUGGACUGAUACUGACACUGAGGUGCGAAAGCGUGGGGAGCAAAC